AGAGUUUGAUCCUGGCUCAGGAUGAACGCUAGCGGCAGGCCUAACACAUGCAAGUCGAGGGAGAGGUUAUCUUCGGGUAACCAAAACCGGCGCACGGGUGCGUAACGCGUAUACAAUCUGCCUUUCACAUAGGGAUAGCCCGAAGAAAUUUGGAUUAAUACCUAAUGGUAUAUAGGAGCGGCAUCGUUUUUAUAUUAAAGCUACGGUGGUGAAAGAUGAGUAUGCGUUCUAUUAGCUAGUUGGAGAGGUAACGGCUCCCCAAGGCUACGAUAGAUAGGGGUUCUGAGAGGGAUAUCCCCCACACUGGUACUGAGAUACGGACCAGACUCCUACGGGAGGCAGCAGUGAGGAAUAUUGGACAAUGGUCGGAAGACUGAUCCAGCCAUGCCGCGUGCAGGAUGAAGGUCCUAUGGAUUGUAAACUGCUUUUGUAAGGGAAGAAUAAGGAGUACGUGUACUUUGAUGACGGUACCUUACGAAUAAGCAUCGGCUAACUCCGUGCCAGCAGCCGCGGUAAUACGGAGGAUGCGAGCGUUAUCCGGAAUCAUUGGGUUUAAAGGGUCCGUAGGCGGGCUAAUAAGUCAGAGGUGAAAGCGCUCAGCUCAACUGAGCAACUGCCUUUGAAACUGUUAGUCUUGAAUGGUUGUGAAGUAGUUGGAAUGUGUAGUGUAGCGGUGAAAUGCUUAGAUAUUACACAGAACACCGAUAGCGAAGGCAUAUUACUAACAAUUAAUUGACGCUGAUGGACGAAAGCGUGGGGAGCGAACAGGAUUAGAUACCCUGGUAGUCCACGCU
rnacentral:rRNA from 1 species